AGAGUUUGAUUAUGGCUCAGAAUCAACGCUGGCGGCGUAGCCUAACACAUGCAAGUCGAAACGAGAAAAGUGGUAAGCAAUGCCAGUGAGUAAAGUGGCGCACGGGUGAGUAACACGUGACUAACCUACCCUGGAUGGGGGAUAACUGAGGGAAACCUUAGCUAAUACCGCAUAAAACCCACGGGUCAAAGGAGCAAUUCGCUCUAGGAGGGGGUCGCGGCCGAUUAGUUAGUUGGCGGGGUAACGGCCACCAAGACGAUGAUCGGUAUCCGGCCUGAGAGGGCGCACGGACACACUGGAACUGAAACACGGUCCAGACUCCUACGGGAGGCAGCAGUGGGGAAUUUUGCGCAAUUAGGGGGGAAACCCUGACGCAGCAACGCCGCGUGGAGGAUGAAGUCCUUCGGGACGUAAACUCCUUUCGAUCGGGACGAUUAUGACGGUACCGGAAGAAGAAGCCCCGGCUAACUUCGUGCCAGCAGCCGC
rnacentral:rRNA from 1 species